AACGUAGGUUCCGAGCGUUAUCCGGAUUUACUGGGCGUAAAGCGCGUUCAGGCGGUUUGGCAAGUCGGGCAUGAAAUCUCUCGGCUCAACCGGGAGAGGUUGUCCGAUACUGCUGGACUUGAGGGCAGUAGAGGGUGGUGGAAUUCCGGGUGUAGUGGUGAAAUGCGCAGAUAUCGGGAAGAACACCCGUGGCGAAGGCGGCAUCCUGGACCGACACUGACGCUGAGGAGCGAAAGCCAGGGGAGCAAACGGG
rnacentral:rRNA from 1 species